rnacentral:sRNA from 1 species
CUAUAGUUUUUUGUGUUAUUCGACCCUCUGUUGAGGUUCCCAGUGAUUUCCAAGGAUUUCCCGCUUCUUAACCAAGAUUUCCCACCGAGACCCUUCGUGGCGGUGCAUUGACACCAGCCACCCGCUGGGCUUGGCGCUAAUUCGCAACCGAAGCGAGCCCAGCGCAAGGGAAGCGUCUUUGGUCAGUGGGAUGUUAUCGGGAGUGACCUGGGAGGCUGGGACUGGUGGUCGGAAGAGCCUCAUAUCCUUGUGGUGCCUUGUUUCCUGCGAUCAAGAACCUACGAGGAGACGUAAUCGCCAUCCUUCGGAUGA